CCUUUUGCUUACUUCCUAGUCCCGGGCAGGCCGGCUCGGAGGCAGCGAGAAAGCGCAGCCAGGCGGCUGCUCGGCGUUCUCUCAGGUGACUGCUCGGAGUUCUCCCAGUUCUCUUUUAACAGUGUUUGGUGUUGCAAGCAGGAUCCAAAGGAGACCUAUAGUGACUCCCAGGAGCUCUUAGUGACCAAGUGAAGGUACCUGUGGGGCUCAUUGUGCCCAUUGCUCUUUCACUGCUUUCAACUGGUAGUUGUGGGUAAGUUCCU
rnacentral:lncRNA from 1 species